UGCUCAGACCUGAAGCUUUCCAUGUUGUCAUGGCUGAACGGGUUCUGUCAUCGCCAGUGAACUGUCAGUGAGUUGGAGAACAUUUCAACUGUCGCAAGUCACUUGGAAUCUGAAGAAUUCUUUGCGUGCCAGUAUAAGUGCGUUUCAAAAGAACAAACGCUCCCUCUGCUGAUAUGGGUGUAAAAAUGCUGCAGUGCUUUCCUUUCUACAGACGCUGCAAGGAGAAGUGCAAAAGACAGUGCCCUCCUGAGACGGCAGUAGCAAGUGAAGAGGUGAAACCUCGGCUGUGUUCCACUACAUCCUGGGGCAGUGAAGGGGACAGCGGCAGCAGUCCGAGUUGUCCACAGGCCUAUUUUUCCCACAAGGCUCGGCUCUCACUGAGACAUCAGAUGGAUAGCAACAUCAACGCAGUGGACGCCACAUACUAACUUUGUCCGCAGGCGGUCUCUGGAGAAUCCUUGAAAGUAAACUUCGGAUUUACAGCCCCAGAGAGUUUUUGUGGGGAACUGGAGAAUGAGCCAUUAGGAACAAGCAGCAUGGAAGUUUGCCUCUCCUUGCAUGCCCAUGGACACUCAUGAGCGUCAGCUGUAUGCAUUGUAAUGACAAUGUCAAGAUAAGUGUCUGAAUUUCGGUACAGCAAUGAGUGUAAAAUGGUACAGCUGAGUGUAAUUUGGUGAAAGGGAUAUUUUGAAACACUCUUAAGAGUGAUGUUUACAUGAUAACCAGUAAGUGCUUUUUUCUAGCCUGUAGCAUUUGCCCUCCACAGCCUCUGCUAUACAUGCAUCUACAUUAUCUAAACUGGAUGCUGGUUUUAUCUGACACUGGCAUCUUAAUGCAAUUGGGUUUUUUGAGCCAGAUAUAAAUUCGUUCAGUAGGAUUUUUGAUGAAUAGACUACCUAAUAAAAAUCAACCACGCUUUGCUUUGCUGGUCAUAAAUUCAGCGAGUACUGUGAAGGCAACUUAAUGUUUUUUCUUUCACAUUAACAGAAAGGACGUUUUUAAAGCUUAUUUUGCUUUCUAUGCAAGUGCCAUUUUCUCUGUCCUGCAGCUGCAUAAAGGUCCAUUAACAGUGUCCACAACACAGCUCUAACUUGAAUUUCAUUUUUUAUUGUGUAUAGAUUUCAGGGCUUUUUGAAAUAUGCCCUGACCAUAAACUAAUUUUGCUUGAGGAGUGUAUUUGGAACAUUUUUUAAAAAAGAUGGUUGUUUCAUGGAAUUUAUGUAAGUUAAAUUUUACCAACUAAUAUAUUAAUAUGAAGAUGGCCCAGUUUCUAAAUCUUUGUAAGGUUUUCUUCUUAUUGUAUGUAUAAAAUCAGUCAAAAGAAUGUUUGUCAUGAUCCACUCAUUGCUUCUGUUACGACAUGUUUGAAAAAAACAGGUUUUACAUGCUAAUGAUGUGUAUCUGGACUUCUUCACUUUGUUGUGUGCACAUGUAUUAACAAAAGUGUUUUUUAAAUGUUAAAAGAGAAUUUUUACACUCUAACCCAGUAAAAGAACAGAUUUCACAAGACACUGUUACACCUUUGAAGUCACAAUAUGAAAGAGAAGAUAUUUUUGUAUGUUUUGUAUGCAACGUGUAAAUCAAUUUUAUAUGAAAGUAAAACAAACUAAAUCAUAUAGGAUUAAAACAGCACAUGUUCAGCUGCUUUCACUGAUGAUUGUAAUAAUAAUAAUAAAAAAACAAUAAAACUGUUUUUCAAAAA